rnacentral:rRNA from 1 species
CAGUAGCCGCGGUAAUACGUAGGCGGCAAGCGUUGUCCGGAAUUAUUGGGCGUAAAGGGCUCGCAGACGGUUUCUUAAGUCUGAUGUGAAAGCCCCCGGCUCAACCGGGGAGGGUCAUUGGAAACUGGGAAACUUGAGUACAGAAGAGGAGAGUGGAAUUCCACGUGUAGCGGUGAAAUGCGUAGAGAUGUGGAGGAACACCAGUGGCGAAGGCGACUCUCUGGUCUGUAACUGACGCUGAGGAGCGAAAGCGUGGGGAGCGAACAGGAUUAGAUACCCGAGUAGUCCCUGUCUCUUAUAC